AGACUGGGAAAGAAGAUUUAUUUCUGCAACUGGUUACAGGGAGAAGGUCGGAGUAACUAAGCAGACCAACUCAAAGUUGCAAUUUAUUUUAGCUUAUAUAUAUAAUUGAAGCUUUUUGCUUGCCUGCAGGAGUGUUUCUUAAUCAAUCUAAUCUUAACUAGGGGUCUGCAAGUAGGAAAGUUUAUUAGAUUUCUUCCCAAAUGGACGAGUUUGAGAAAACCCAGUAUAUUUUGGUAUUCCUCAUA
rnacentral:lncRNA from 1 species